AAAUUGAUGCACCCAGUGGGGGAGCCAGGAAGUAUUGAUGUUUCUACCAGUUUAGCGUCAACACUUGCUGGUUUCCUCUCUGGAGCGUCA
ensembl:miRNA bta-mir-505 bta-mir-505